ACUCUGGGCUAAAGGAGUGGAAUUAGCUAGUCCUGUGAGGGCAGUCUCUCAAGGAUCAAGGCCCCAGAUGUCAGGGCAUCAAGAAUAUGGAAAAUCAGAGAACAUGGUCAAUAUACCAGCUCAUCCCUGGAUGAAGCUCCCUGCCCUUCCUCACAGAGACAAAAAAGUACAAUCCUCAAUUUUCCAGCCUACCUUGUAGCUGGGAGCUAUAAAAUGAAGUUCAUCAGGCAUGAGCAAUCUGCUGGUACUGCUUCUUCCCACUUCCCCUUCUUCUUGCUUUGGGAUGGGAUGCGCUGUUUGGUGCUGUAACAGCCAUUUGCAGCCAUAAGGAAAAGGCCAAAUGAGUUGCAGUGGUGUCCAUUGAACCAAUUCCGUAUUUUUCUGGACUUCUUGUUUUGUGAGAAAAAUAAACUGCUAUUUAAACCACUGUA
rnacentral:lncRNA from 1 species